rnacentral:rRNA from 1 species
CGGCACGGGUGAGUAACACGUAUCCAACCUGCCGAUGACUCGGGGAUAGCCUUUCGAAAGAAAGAUUAAUACCCGAUGGCAUAGUUCUUCCGCAUGGUAGAACUAUUAAAGAAUUUCGGUCAUCGAUGGGGAUGCGUUCCAUUAGGUUGUUGGCGGGGUAACGGCCCACCAAGCCUUCGAUGGAUAGGGGUUCUGAGAGGAAGGUCCCCCACAUUGGAACUGAGACACGGUCCAAACUCCUACGGGAGGCAGCAUG